GACGAACGCUGGCGGUGUGCUUAACACAUGCAAGUCGAACGGUAAGGCCCUUUCGGGGGUACACGAGUGGCGAACGGGUGAGUAACACGUGAGUAACCUGCCCUCAUCUCUGGGAUAACAGUCGGAAACGGUUGCUAAUACUGGAUAUGAGCCUGCAAGGCAUCUUGAGGGUUGGAAAGAUUUUUUGGUUGGGGAUGGACUCGCGGCCUAUCAGCUUGUUGGUGAGGUAGUGGCUCACCAAGGCUUCGACGGGUAGCCGGCCUGAGAGGGCGACCGGCCACAUUGGGACUGAGAUACGGCCCAAACUCCUACGGGAGGCAGCAGUGGGGAAUAUUGCACAAUGGACGGAAGUCUGAUGCAGCAACGCCGCGUGCGGGAUGACGGCCUUCGGGUUGUAAACCGCUUUCAAUUGUGACGAAGCUUUUUGUGACGGUAGCAGUAGAAGAAGCACCGGCUAACUACGUG
rnacentral:rRNA from 1 species